AUGGCUCUCUUCAGGGACGGAGAAAACCAUCCCCACUACCAUGGAUGGGGGAAGUCAGGAAGCCUUCACUGCAGCCCAUGCCCAAUGGCUUGCUGUCAAGAUCAACAAGUUCUGGGGUACGUAUUCAGUUCCCUCUCCAAGGAAGUGUUGACUCAGGUCGCCUUACUUUGGGCAGCCGUCGAGCAGAUGUUUUCUUCUCAGUCUCGUGCUGACACCAUCAAUAUCAGGAUGGCUAUGUCCAACAUAAACAAAAGGAAUAUGUCUGUUGCAGAUUAUUUCUCCAAGAAGAAGGUCCUUGUGGAUGACAUGCAUCUGUCGCAUAGUUUUAAAUAG
rnacentral:rRNA from 1 species